rnacentral:tRNA from 1 species
UCUAUAAUGGCUCAGAUGGUAAAGAAUCUGCCUGCAAUGCAGGAGACCUGGGUUCGAAACCCAGGUUAGAAAA